CAGUGUUUUAAUGAUGACAGCAGUAGUUCAGGCAGAUAUCAGCGGGUAGCCGACUUGUUAUCAAAGUCGAACGCAGAUCAUUAUAGCAACAGGUACGAAUCUGAACAACCAGAAGUUAUCAUUAUCGUUCGACCUCAACGUCAGGAGAAAAUGCGAGCAUUUGUUUUAAGUUUGGUCAACGUUCGCGACCCAGAAUUUUUGUCUGGUCGCUAAAAGCAAAUAAAAAAAAAUAAACCCUG